rnacentral:rRNA from 1 species
UACGUAGGGCGCGAGCGUUGUCCGGAAUUAUUGGGCGUAAAGGGCUCGUAGGCGGUUUGUCACGUCAGGAGUGAAAACUCGGGGCUCAACCCCGAGCCUGCUUCUGAUACGGGCAGACUAGAGGUAUGCAGGGGAGAACGGAAUUCCUGGUGUAGCGGUGAAAUGCGCAGAUAUCAGGAGGAACACCGGUGGCGAAGGCGGUUCUCUGGGCAUUACCUGACGCUGAGGAGCGAAAGUGUGGGGAGCGAACAGG